GACCUACGGGGGGCAGCAGUGGGGAAUAUUGGACAAUGGGCGCAAGCCCGAUCCAGCAAUGCCGCGUGAGUGAGGAAGGCCUUAGGGUUGUAAAGCUCUUUCACCCGCGACGAUGAUGACGGUAGCGGGAGAAGAAGCCCCGGCUAACUUCGUGCCAGCAGCCGCGGUAAUACGAAGGGGGCGAGCGUUGUUCGGAUUUACUGGGCGUAAAGGGCGCGCAGGCGGCUCGUUUUGUCAGGCGUGAAAGCCCCGGGCUUAACCUGGGAACUGCGCUUGAUACGGGCGGGCUAGAGUUCGGGAGAGGAGAGUGGAAUUCCCAGUGUAGAGGUGAAAUUCGUAGAUAUUGGGAAGAACACCGGUGGCGAAGGCGGCUCUCUGGACCGAGACUGACGCUGAGGCGCGAAAGCGUGGGGAGCAAACAGGAUUAGAUACCCCGGUAGUCAAG
rnacentral:rRNA from 1 species